GAUGAACGCUGGCGGCGUGCCUAAUACAUGCAAGUCGAGCGAACGGACGAGAAGCUUGCUUCUCUGAUGUUAGCGGCGGACGGGUGAGUAACACGUGGAUAACCUACCUAUAAGACUGGGAUAACGUCGGGAAACCGGAGUUAAUACCGGAUAAUAUUUUGAACCGCAUGGUUCAAAAGUGAAAUACGGUCUUGCUGUCACUUAUAGAUGGAUCCGCGCUGCAUUAGCUAGUUGGUAAGGUAACGGCUUACCAAGGCAACGAUGCAUAGCCGACCUGAGAGGGUGAUCGGCCACACUGGAACUGAGACACGGUCCAGACUCCUACGGGAGGCAGCAGCAGGGAAGCUUCCGAGAUGGGCGAAAGCCUGAAGGAGCAACGCAGCGUGAGUGAUGCAGGUCUUCGGAUCGUAAAACUCUGUUAUUAGGGAAGACCAUAUGUGUAAGUAACUAUGCACAUCUUGACGGUACCUAAUCAGAAAGCCACGGCUAACUACGUG
rnacentral:rRNA from 1 species